AUUGAACGCUGGCGGCGUGCUUAACACAUGCAAGUCGAUCGGUAACAGGUGUAGCAAUACAUGCUGACGAGAGGCGGACGGGUGAGUAAUGCUUGGGAAUCUGCCUAUUAGUGGGGGACAACCCGGGGAAACUCGGGCUAAUACCGCAUACGCUCUACGGAGGAAAGCCGGGGACCGCAAGGCCUGGCGCUAAUAGAUGAGCCCAAGUCGGAUUAGCUAGUUGGUAGGGUAACGGCCUACCAAGGCGACAAUCCGUAGCUGGUCUGAGAGGACGACCAGCCACACCGGAACUGAGACACGGUCCGGACUCCUACGGGAGGCAGCAGUGGGGAAGUAUUGGUACAAUGGGGGCGAACCCUCGAUCCAGCGACGCCGCGUGGGUGAAGAAGGCCUGCGGGUUGUAAAGCCCUUUCGGUGGGGAAGAAAAGUCUCGACCUAAUACGUCGGGACCUUGACGUAACCCCACUAAAGAAGCACCGGCUAACUCUGUGCCAGCAGCC
rnacentral:rRNA from 1 species